UAUAUUCAAUAAAUUCAAUGAAAUUAUUGUCAUUUGUGAAAAAAAUUAGAACACAAAUAACUUAUACAUUUGAAAAAUUAACAAUUUUGGGCGAGAUAAAAACAAAACGUCCAUAUAAAAAGGAUAACAAAAGGAAGGUAUAUAUGACCAUAUUUCAAGAAAUAAAAACUUCAAGAAUUGCAAACCAUUUCGGGAUACGUGAGCGGUUUGGAAUACCCAUUUUGGCCCAUUAAACCACAGAAAUAAGAGAUUAAAUCGAUACGAUUUCUUGUAUCUCGCGGAUUUAAUAAACAAACUGUUGCCGAGUGAACCGGUUGAACUCUACUAUUCCCCUGCCAGUCAUGGUCAAAAAGCUACUGGUAAGCUCUAUGAUGCUUACAAUAACUAUCGCAAAAAGCUAUCUGAAAUUGGAUUGUUGCAAAGAAGAGCAUACAGUAUAAAAAAGUAAACUCUACUACUUGUCAAGAUAAUUCUGAUGAUUUUCAAUUUAUAAAAGAAACUUGUAUUCCCAGUGACGAAUUUAUAACUAGAUGGUCUAACUGCUUGCAGGAAAG